rnacentral:rRNA from 1 species
CCAGACUCCUACGGGAGGCAGCAGUGGGGAAUAUUGCACAAUGGGGGAAACCCUGAUGCAGCAACGCCGCGUGAAGGAAGACGGUUUUCGGAUUGUAAACUUCUGUUCUUAGUGAAGAAGAAUGACGGUAGCUAAGGAGCAAGCCACGGCUAACUCCGUGCCAGCAGCCGCGGUAAUACGGAGGAUGCGAGCGUUAUCCGGAUUUAUUGGGUUUAAAGGGUGCGUAGGCGGGUUAUCAAGUCAGCGGUAAAAUCGUGGAGCUCAACUCCAUCCAGCCGUUGAAACUGAUGAUCUUGAGUGGGCGAGAAGUAUGCGGAAUGCGUGGUGUAGCGGUGAAAUGCAUAGAUAUCACGCAGAACUCCGAUUGCGAAGGCAGCAUACCGGCGCCCGACUGACGCUGAAGCACGAAAGCGUGGGUAUCGAACAGGAUUAGAUACCCUAGUA